AUGGCUGGCGCCCAAGGGCCGACGUUGCCGGCCACGGCAGAGGAGAUGGAGAUGGACAUCGAGCUCUCACGCCGGGGCUGGGGACCCAGCUUCGAGUUCGCGUUCGAUUCAGAGCGCUUCUCCGACAAGAUGCUCCGGAUAGAGAUCGUGUCCAGCGGCGAAGUCGCCGGAGGAUCCCUCCCGGAACCGGCGUGCCACCGCCAGGAGAAAGAGGAAAAUGCCCUUAUGGAGAUUUUAAGCUUUAUGUAUAGUGGGAAGUUGACAACAACUGAGCCCACUCUUCUGCUCAACAUCUUGAUGGCUGCCGAUAAAUAUGAGGUUCUUUCUUGCGUGAGUUACUGCAGUCAGCUGCUCACAAGGUUGCCCAUGACCACAGAAUCUGCGCUGCUCUACUUAAAGCAUUCAUGCUCCAUUUCAGUGCCAGUUGAAGUUGAACGUUUGGUAGUUGCAGCCAAGGAAUUCCUAGCCUUCAAAUAUGAGGAUGUGCUUGAGUUCAAGGGCGAACUUAAGAAUUUCCCUCUUGCUGGGAUCGAAGCCAUCUUCUCAAGUACUGGCUUACAUGUACGAACUGAAGAUGACAUAUAUGAUUUCAUGCUCAGCUGGGCCCGUGCGCGAUACCCAGAUCUGGAGGAAAGGCGCAAGAUCCUGAGUUCUAGUUUACUUCCGCUGGUGCGCUUCAGUCAUAUGAGCCGUAAUGGACUGCAGAAGGUCCUACUGUGCACUGAUGAUGAUAUAGACCAUGAUCAAUUCGCGGGGUUUCCAAAAGCUCAAAGUAACCCCACCACGGAGUCCCGAAAGAAGCCACUAGCCCACUACGACCGCGAAGCUAGGGUUUACGGCCGCCGCGUCCUCCCUCUCCCAGACGCGGCGGGGCAGAUGGCUGGCGCCCAAGGGUCGACGAUGCCGGCGGCGGCACCGGAGGCGGAGGCGGAGGCUGGGAUGGACAUUGAGCUCUCACGCGGGAGCUGGGCCCCAAACUUCGGGUUCGCGUUCGAUUCAGAGCGCUUCUCCGACAAGGUGCUGCAGAUAGCGAUCGUCGCCAACGGUGAAGUCGCGGGAGGAUCCCUCACCGAACCGGCAAGCCACCGCGCAGACAAAGGUACACAAGUUUUACGAGUAAGGACAAUGAAUGUAAGUUCAGUGAUUCUUUCUGCAAGUAGUAGCUUCUUUCACAAGCUUUUCUCAAAUGGCAUGAAAGAAUCUGAGCAGACACAUGCAACACUUGAGAUCGCUGAUUCAGAGGAAAAUGCCCUUAUGGAGCUUUUGAGAUUUAUGUACUGUGGAAAGUUAAGAACAGCUGAGCCUGCUAUUCUGCUAGACAUCUUGAUGGUUGCCGACAAAUUCGAGGUUCCUUCUUGCAUGAGGGAUUGCAGUCAGUUGCUCACAAGCUUGCCCAUGACAACAGAAUCUGCGCUGCUCUACCUAGACCAUCCAUGCUCCAUUUUAAUUCCAGCUACUGUUCACCAUUUGAUAGUUGCAGCCAAGGAUUUCCUUGCUAAAAAAUACAGUGAUGUGCAUAAGUUCCAAGAUGAAUUGAUGAACAUGUCACUUGCUGGGAUUGAAGCCAUAUUUUCAAGUACUGACCUACAUGUAGUAAAUGAAGACUGCUUAUACCGCCUGUUGCUCAAGUGGGCCCGUGCGCGGUACCCAGAACUGGAAGAAAGACACCAUGAGCAAAUAACUAAGUGUGUCACUGAGGUACUUCUGUGCAAAGCUUAUCCAGCACACAGGCCAGAUGAGCUUGCAGCAUGUGCAACCUCCAGUCAGCAAUUUGUAGACCGAGCUUACAAGUGCAGGCAUCUGAAAGUGGUUGCGUUUGAUCAACCCUGCCCACAGGUUAUAGCUUACAUGGAUUUGAAGCGUGAGGAAUGCUCCCAACUCUUCCCAUCAGAGCAGAUAUUCUCGCACCCACUCCAUGUUGCAGGUCAGGGUUUCAUUCUUGGGGCAGGAUGUAACAUGGUCCAGCAGAUUGGUUCACACAGAUUUGGCAUCUUCUUAUAUAUCAAUUUGAAGCAGAAGGGUUCAACGGGUGUGUCAGUAAAUUAUGAGUUUGCGGCAAGGACAAGACCAUCUGGGCACUUUGUGAGCAAGUACAAUGCUAGUCACACCUUUACUGAUAGUGCUAUAGUUGCAUGCAGGGAUCCCUUUUCGAUUCCAUGGGAGAUGUUCUUGGCUGAUGACAACCCUUUCUUCAUCAGUGGUGUGCUGCAUCUCAGACUUGAUUUGAAGGUGGUGGAGCAGACAUAA
rnacentral:rRNA from 1 species